UACGUAGGGUGCAAGCGUUAAUCGGAAUUACUGGGCGUAAAGCGUGCGCAGGCGGUGAUGUAAGACAGAUGUGAAAUCCCCGGGCUCAACCUGGGAACUGCAUUUGUGACUGCAUCGCUGGAGUGCGGCAGAGGGGGAUGGAAUUCCGCGUGUAGCAGUGAAAUGCGUAGAUAUGCGGAGGAACACCGAUGGCGAAGGCAGGUCUCUGGGCUGACACUGACGCUCAUGCACGAAAGCCAGGGGAGCGAACGGG
rnacentral:rRNA from 1 species